rnacentral:rRNA from 1 species
CUCGUAGGCGGUUCGGUAAGUCGGGUGUGAAACCUCCAGGCUCAACCUGGAGACGCCACCCGAUACUGCCGUGACUAGAGUCCAGUAGGGGAGCGUGGAAUUCCUGGUGUAGCGGUGAAAUGCGCAGAUAUCAGGAGGAACACCAGCGGCGAAGGCGGCGCUCUGGGCUGGAACUGACGCUGAGGAGCGAAAGCGUGGGAGCGAACA